CGAAAGCGGAUUCUAGAUACACUACCACAAACGACAUCGUACACCCUGUUGUGUGGACAUUUUGGAGCUGUAAUCGGUCUGCUUACAUCAAAAAACUUUCCUUAAAAUGUGGUGGUUGGAGAUACUUCCAAGUGUAGCUAUAAUAACAGUCGCAACUAUAAUUCCUCAAUACACAGCUUACUAUAUAACGCAAUGGAGAUACCGAAUCCCAAUGCGCAGAUCUCUGACUAACACCUAUGAUGUCAAUAUGAAUUUGAGGGAUACUAACCUACACGGGCAACCUUGGAUAAGGGCAGGUCUAGAGCAAAUCCCAGACAAAUGAAUCUAAUGUACGGAGUGGUAUAUCAUUUUACAGUGCCAGUUUACACCGUACCUUCUCCGCUCCAGUUAUAGCAACAUUUUGCAAAUACGUUACACAGAAUUUAGAAAUAGUUUGUAUUCUUAAAUGUUUAAAAAUAAGAUUCCAAGGGAACAUAAAGUAGUCUCCGAUAAA